AGCAGGCAGAAGAAACAACCAGGUCAAGAUAAAGUUGUAGUCUGAAUGUGCUGAUGGGGGGGAAGGGGGGUAAUGUAAGAAACAGCUCUAGAUGCACGCCGACACUGCUUGGCCGUGACUCUUCACGGAUUAAAAAACUGUUGGGUGUAAUGCUUCCUUCAGCAGAUGACCUGGGAGCAUGAAAAGAUACAAUGUUUUACAUUGUACUUUCUAAAUUAAAAAAGAAAAAAAAAAGCACAAUAAAUGAAAACGGGGAGUCAAGGUUUGCUAGUGCAGACUUGCUCUGUCUUGCACAAGGUGUGUGAAGCUUGAGGUGGGCGUGAGUGAUCUUUCUUAUGACCUAAUUCUCUUCCUCUUAAACGUGGACAAUUAACAAAGGAAGGACAUGGUGGGCAUGGGAAAAAUACUUGACAAGAUGCGUGUGCCUCCAGGUCUACCCCUUCAGUUCCUGUCUGCUUUCGGUAUUUUUACUUAUUCUUUCAAUUAAGCGAAAGAAGUGUUUCAUAUUGACCCAAACUGGCCUUACCUCCUGAAUUCUGACUUGCUUCCUUCUGCCUGCCUUCACAGGUGUUGCAGGACCCACACUGUGGAAGAAGAAAACUGACUCCAGGAAGUUGCCCUCUGGCCUCCACGAGUGUACUCUGGCAUGAAUGUAACCACAUAUACAUGUGCUAAAUAAAUAAAUUGAAAUAAAAUCUUCUGAA